rnacentral:rRNA from 1 species
AUUGAACGCUGGCGGCAGGCCUAACACAUGCAAGUCGAACGGUAACAGGAAGAAGCUUGCUUCUUUGCUGACGAGUGGCGGACGGGUGAGUAAUUUCUGGGAAAUUGCCUGAGGGGGGGGGUUAACUCCUGGAAACGGUACCUAAUACCCAAUACCGUCGCAAGACCAAAAGGGGGGCCCUUCGGGCCUCUUGCCAUCGGAUGUGCCCAGUUGGGAUUAGCUAGUAGGUGGGGUAACGGCCCCCCUAGGCGACGAUCCCUAGCUGGUCUGAGAGGAUGACCAGCCACACUGGAACUGAGACACGGUCCAGACUCCUACGGGAGGCAGCAGUGGGGAAUAUUGCACAAUGGGCGCAAGCCUGAUGCAGCCAUGCCGCGUGUAUGAAGAAGGCCUUCGGGUUGUAAAGUACUUUCAGCGGGGAGGAAGGGAGUAAAGUUAAUACCUUUGCUCAUUGACGUUACCCGCAGAAGAAGCACCGGCUAACUCCGUG